UUUUAGAGUAACCUACAGGACAGAACAUCAACGCAUGAGUCACUGGCAAAGUAUAAACAGAAAUAAUUCGGAAGAUGCUGUCCUGAUGCUUUACAAAGAGACUUGUCAGAGAGUUUCUCUUUUGAUCUCACGCUGGUGUCAAGACUCCCCUCCAAGUGCUCCCUGUAAGGAAACAUGAAGCCUUGGUGGAGGAGCAGAUCCCAUCGAAGGAGACCCUGGGGCAGCAGCAGCCCCCUGUGAAAAUGAACAAUGGGAAACCUCCCGGCUUUGCAACACAGAGG
rnacentral:lncRNA from 12 species